rnacentral:rRNA from 1 species
CAGUCGCCACGGUAAUACGUAGGUGGCAAGCGUUAUCCGGAUUUAUUGGGCGUAAAGCGCGUCUAGGUGGUUAUGUAAGUCUGAUGUGAAAAUGCAGGGCUCAACUCUGUAUUGCGUUGGAAACUGCAUGACUUGAGUACUGGAGAGGUAAGCGGAACUACAAGUGUAGAGGUGAAAUUCGUAGAUAUUUGUAGGAAUGCCGAUGGGGAAGCCAGCUUACUGGACAGAUACUGACGCUAAAGCGCGAAAGCGUGGGUAGCAAACAGGAUUAGAUACCCCCGUAGUCCCUGUCUCUUAUACC